GACGAACGCUGGCGGCGUGCUUAACACAUGCAAGUCGAACGGUAAGGCCCUUCGGGGUACACGAGCGGCGAACGGGUGGGUAACACGUGGGUGAUCUACCCUGCACUUCGGGAUCAGCCUGGGAAACUGGGUCUAAUACCGGAUAGGACCACUGCCUGCAUGGGUGGUGGUGGAAAGCUUUUGCGGUGUGGGAUGGGCCCGCGGCCUAUCAGGUGGUUGGUGGGGUGAUGGCCUACCAAGGCGACGACGGGUAGCCGGCCUGAGAGGGUGACCGGCCACACUGGGACUGAGAUACGGCCCAGACUCCUACGGGAGGCAGCAGUGGGGAAUAUUGCACAAUGGGCGCAAGCCUGAUGCAGCGACGCCGCGUGAGGGAUGACGGCCUUCGGGUUGUAAACCCCUUUCAGCACCGACGAAGCGCAAGUGACGGUAGGUGCAGAAGAAGGACCGGCCAACUACGUGCCAGCAGCCGCCGUAA
rnacentral:rRNA from 1 species